rnacentral:rRNA from 1 species
UACGAAGGGGGCUAGCGUUGCUCGGAAUCAUUGGGCGUAAAGGGUGCGUAGGCGGCGCGGUAAGUCGGGUGUGAAAUCUUGGAGCUUAACUCCGAAACUGCAUUCGAUACUGCCGUGCUUGAGGACUGGAGAGGAGACUGGAAUUUACGGUGUAGCGGUGAAAUGCGUAGAUAUUGUAAGGAAGACCAGUGGCGAAGGCGGGUCUCUGGACAGUUCCUGACGCUGAGGCACGAAGGCCAGGGGAGCAAACGGG